GACGAACGCUGGCGGCGUGCUUAACACAUGCAAGUCGAACGGAAAGGCCCUGCUUUUGUGGGGUGCUCGAGUGGCGAACGGGUGAGUAACACGUGAGUAACCUGCCCUUGACUUUGGGAUAACUUCAGGAAACGGGGGCUAAUACCGGAUAGGAGCUCCUGCGGCAUGGGGGGGGUUGGAAGGUUUCGGCGGUUGGGGAUGGACUCGCGGCUUAUCAGCUUGUUGGUGGGGUAGUGGCUUACCAAGGCUUUGACGGGUAGCCGGCCUGAGAGGGUGACCGGCCACAUUGGGACUGAGAUACGGCCCAGACUCCUACGGGAGGCAGCAGUGGGGAAUAUUGCACAAUGGGCGGAAGCCUGAUGCAGCAACGCCGCGUGCGGGAUGACGGCCUUCGGGUUGUAAACCGCUUUCGCCUGUGACGAAGCGUGAGUGACGGUAAUGGGUAAAGAAGCACCGGCUAACUACGUG
rnacentral:rRNA from 1 species